rnacentral:lncRNA from 1 species
GCACAAUUUUAUUUAUGCACAAGGAAUCUGAGAGCCAGGUGGAUGAAGGCCACUCGGAGAGGAGAUGGCCAAGCUGGAAGUGCAUUCUGGGUACCACAAUGCUCUGGAUACUGCUCUUCAUCCACCAAGUCAUUCCUCAGGGUUUACCAGCAUUUCAAGGCUUCCUUAAGUCCCAGCAAAAUGAGCAACUGCAGUCCCAUAAAGGGCCAGAACCUAACACAGGAACAACAAGAAUCACCUUUCCUAACCCAGUCACAAAAAGACAAACAUGAGCCCUCAUCCAGUGGCUGAUGGAAGCAGAGACAGACAUUCACAGAUAUACACUGAGCUGAAAUCGGGAAUUCAGUUGAAAAGAGGGAGGAAUGAAGAGUGAAGGAGUCCGUACCAGGUUGGAGAAACCCACAGGAACAGUUGACCUGAACAAAGGAGAGCACAUCGCCCCCAGAUGCUGUCUGGAAGGCCUGUACAAGACUGAUCCAGACCCCUGAACAUAGAUGUCAAUAAGGAGGCCUCUGCACUCCAGGGAGCCUCUGGUGGUGGAUUAGUAUUUUUCCCUGGUACAAGAAGGGACUUUGAGCGCCCAUCCCACAAGAAGGGUUACACUCUGGCCCUGGACACAUGGGGAAGGGCCCAGGACCAGCACAGGAAGAUUUGGUGGACUUUGCAGAGCCCCCGUUGAGGGCCCUACCCUGC